rnacentral:rRNA from 1 species
UGGGGAAUAUUGCACAAUGGAGGGUACUCUGAUGCAGCGACGCCGCGUGAACGAAGAAGGCUUUCGAGUCGUAAAGUUCUUUUAUAUGGGAAGAUAAUGACGGUACCAUAAGAAAAAGCCCCGGCUAACUACGUGCCAGCAGCCGCGGUAAUACGUAGGGGGCUAGCGUUGUCCGGAAUCACUGGGCGUAAAGGGUUCGCAGGCGGAAAUGCAAGUCAGGUGUAAAAGGCAGUAGCUUAACUACUGUAAGCAUUUGAAACUGCAUAUCUUGAGAAGAGUAGAGGUAAGUGGAAUUUUUAGUGUAGCGGUGAAAUGCGUAGAUAUUAAAAAGAAUACCGGUGGCGAAGGCGGCUUACUGGGCUCAUUCUGACGCUGAGGAACGAAAGCGUGGGUAGCAAACAGG